rnacentral:rRNA from 1 species
CCUACGGGUGGCAGCAGUCGAGAAUCAUUCACAAUGGGGGAAACCCUGAUGGUGCGACGCCGCGUGGGGGAAUGAAGGUCUUCGGAUUGUAAACCCCUGUCAUGUGGGAGCAAAUUAAAAAGAUAGUACCACAAGAGGAAGAGACGGCUAACUCUGUGCCAGCAGCCGCGGUAAUACAGAGGUCUCAAGCGUUGUUCGGAAUCACUGGGCGUAAAGCGUGCGUAGGCUGUUUCGUGAGUCGUGUGUGAAAGGCGCGGGCUCAACCCGCGGACGGCACAUGAUACUGCGAGACUAGAGUAAGGGAGGGGGAACCGGAAUUCUCGGUGAAGCAGUGAAAUGCGUAGAUAUCGAGAGGAACACUCGUGGCGAAGGCGGGUUCCUGGACAUUAACUGACGCUGAGGCACGAAGGCCAGGGGAGCGAAAGGGAUUAGAUACCCCUGUAGUC